CUACGGGAGGCAGCAGUGAGGAAUAUUGCACAAUGGGGGCAACCCUGAUGCAGCAACGCCGCGUGAGUGAUGACUCGGUUUAUCCGUGUAAAGCUCUGUUGUUAGGGAAGAAUUGUUGGAUUAGUAGUCCAAAAUAGACUGUACCUAAUCAGAAAGCUCCGGCUAACUCCGUGCCAGCAGCCGCGGUAAUACGGAGGGAGCGAACGUUGUCCGGAUUUAUUGGGCGUAAAGGGCACGUAGGUGGAUCCUUAAGUCAGUUGUUAAAUUUUACAGCUUAACUGUAUUGUGCAAUUGAUACUGGGGAUCUCGAGUUCGAGAGGGGAUGGUAGAAUGUCAAGUGUAGCGGUGGAAUGCGUAGAUAUUUGAUAGAAUACCUGAGGCGAAGGCGACCAUCUGGCUCGAUACUGACACUGAUGUGCGAAAGCAUGGGUAGCGAACAGGAUUAGAUACCCUGGUAGUC
rnacentral:rRNA from 1 species